rnacentral:tRNA from 1 species
GCCCUCAUAGUUCAGUGGAUAGAACAAGGCACUCCUAAGGCUUAGACACACGUUCAAUUCGUGUUGAGGGUACCA